UACUUACAGUUAUGGUGUUCCUCAUUUAUCGAUCGACAAACUUGAGGAUCUCUUACUAGCAUAUUCACUUCCAACAGGGAUUUUCUCGUUGCAACAUGAGCUGCAAUUGCUGUUCCGAAAGAUCCACCUCCAAGUACCACUAUCUUAUUAGUACGUUCAAGGACGUCAGUUUUAGCUCUAGACUGCAAAGAACGAGACCAUCGGACGAGCUUCUCCCAAGCGAGUCGGACAAUUUCCCGGCGUUCUUUUGGGCCAUCAAGCGGCAGUACAAGGGUUUCAGUGUCCGGUUCCGACGGCUGAGGUUGAGCUCGAGGGGCGGCGAA
rnacentral:misc_RNA from 1 species